UCUGUCUACAUGUACACUUAGCCAUAUUGGGGGGGCGGUAUUUCUUGGGUAAGGAAGGGGCAGAGAUCAUUGGGCCCUGACAGGUGACCCUGCCUCCUUCACAAUGGAAUAGAACAUGGAACCCUGAUAGCAGGCCACGGUAACUCACAGUUGGCUCAAGCCAGCUCACUUGGCCUGUGACUCCGGAGCCAGAAACAUGUUCUUGUGCUGUAUUCGCAGGUCUCGAGACUCUGGUCUCAGCCAAGAGAAGGAUGGGUGCCUCAGUCAAAGCUGUAGACACUGGAUCAGUGGCAAGCCACGAAGCAACCAUCUCAGAGAUUUGUCCAAAAAGAAACCUAGGAAAUCACAAGGCAACUCAGGCAAGUGUGCUAAUGUGUGAGCCCUGACCCUGAAUGUGCCAUGCCAUAUAUGGAGCCCGGAGGCAGGCCUGCUGGACAUGUUGGUGAUGAACCUGGUCCCUGCCUACCAGAAAGGCGAUCUCUUCUAUGUUGGAAACUUCCUCCACAAUUAUAGACAGUGGGGGACAAUGGAGCAAGUGCUGGAUAUUGUGUUCAAAAAGUACAGAUUCCCGGGCCGUAACUCUGAGGAAGAUGAACAAGU